CCUACGGGUGGCAGCAGUGGGGAAUAUUGGGCAAUGGGCGCAAGCCUGACCCAGCGACGCCGCGUGAGGGAAGACGGUCUUCGGAUUGUAAACCUCUUUCAGCAGGGAAGACAAAAGGACGGUACCUGGGGAGGAAGCUCCGGCUAACUACGUGCCAGCAGCCGCGGUAAUACGUAGGGAGCGAGCGUUGUCCGGAAUUACUGGGUGAAAAGGGAGCGUAGGCGGGGAUGCAAGUUGGGUGUCAAAACUACCGGCUCAACUGGUAGUCGCACUCAAAACUGCAGCUCUUGAGUGAAGUAGAGGCAGGCGGAAUUCCUAGUGUAGCGGUGAAAUGCGUAGAUAUUAGGAGGAACACCAGUGGCGAAGGCGGCCUGCUGGGCUUUUACUGACGCUGAGGCUCGAAAGUGUGGGGAGCAAACAGGAUUAGAUACCCGAGUAGUC
rnacentral:rRNA from 1 species